AUGGCUCGUUCUGCCUUGAGUAUAGCAGCUAUAAGAGAUGGGGGCAAUGGUGGAACUAGAGGAAACUCCAAGUGCGAGUGGUUCUAUUGGCAUUAAGAAAGUGACACCAGAUUUUUCUUCAUACAGAGGACAGUGGGUCACCAAGUGCUGUAGACCCAGUGAGAAGAUCACUGUUGACUCCAUAGGAAUUCUCGACAUGGCUUCUACCUUUUGAGUGUGCAAUGCUUUUUGUGUUAAAUCAUCUUUUUUUCCUACUUUAGGAAAUAGAACCAGAUUAUAACUCACUCCACAGAAUUCAUAUUGCUUCUGCUUGCACCCCCCCCCCUUGCACUUUUAGCAUUAAAACUCCUAGGAAUUAGGACACAACUCUUCCUGACCCAAAUAUGAGUGGUUUGGUUUCUGACAGUGGACAGAAGUUUAACAGGAAGAGGACGAGCAAAAACAGAAGGCAGGGCCAGCCCCCCUCUGACAUCUAGCCCGGCAUUCCAUCCUCCAGCUGAACAUCUUGAGCUGGACUGUCUCCAUUUGGACAAGGAAAACUGCCUCUCUUCACUCGCACAUGGAAAGGAGGGCUCAGUCAGUGUUAGCUGAGGACCAGAGAAGCAUGUACUUCCAGCAUCAACACGGUGGUAACCGGUUUGCGAGAACUAUCGGUUCUGAUAGCUCAGGAGGUGUGUGUGUAUGGGGGGAGGAACUCGUGGGGAAUAUGAAGUGUAAACACAAAUCAGCUGGAGCAAGGAAACACACCUCAUAUUUUACAUCAGCUGUCCAGUGACUAACCACGGACGUGUUUUCUCAAACUGCUGAACUAGUCAGUUUUCCCUUGCCGAUGGUUUCAAAAGAGACGCUGUAAUUUAUCUUUUCUUUUUUUCAUUUCACAGUCUUCUAGAUUGUCGCUUGGGGAUCCCCUGGGACCUCGAUAGAUGAACAUGUAGCCUGCUCC
rnacentral:lncRNA from 1 species